GAAGGCGCGCGACGCCUUGCAGCAUCCCGCAGCCCGCUGCGCGACAGUGUUCUGCGGGCCGCGUUCGUGACGGCGGCAUCUCCGUCUCGCACUUCGUGUCAGUUCACACGCGACGCUCGCGUAUUUUGAACCUCCGUUGCCGAGUUGGAAGCGCGUUACAUUCAGUGCCCGUCCCGAGAGUUUUGUUGCAAAUGUAGUAGUUUUGAUAUGGUAGGAUGUGAUCCAAUAACGUCGGUAGGGAUUUCGUUUCAAGACAAAGAAGUUUUUUGAAAAACUGAUAUAAAAUAAAAAAAAAAAAAAAAAAAAAAAUGCGCAGGCAAUAUUUGAACUACAUUUUGAAAUUUGGAAAUAAAUUCUAGCUCGGUUUAAAAACGACGUAUGUGCCAUUAGUUUCAAUAAGCAUACACACGUUUUUCCAGAAGAGCCAGAAUUUAUAGCUCCGAAUUGCAAAAUGCAGUCCAUUUAGUAUUCGGUACUUGACAAACGGGGUAUUAUUCUAAAAACGACAUUGUAGAAUUGCUAGACGCAAAGGAAGUCAGAGGGAAAUAAUUCAAACUAAGGGCUAAAGUCCCCUAAAAAUUCGCAAUCGAUCAUUUUCAUUCAAUAUGGGAGAUUUAUUCGAAAUUUUUACGAGUUUCCAUUUCUUUCAAUUUUUCCUUUCUUUAUUUUAAUCCAUCAGUAAUCCAGCUAUAAUUUAGAAAUUAAAGGAAGGAAAAAAAUACUUACAAAAUAUCAUCUCUACUUAGCAAUUUUUAAUUUAAGUUCCCUAAAAAGGAAACGUGAUUAUGUUUUCCAGUAGUUGAUAAGAGAUCAAACCAUGCAUAUAUAUUCACCUUAUAACAAGAAAAGAACAUGGAAAAAUAUUAGAACAAGAAACAAUAGUCAAUUGCAUUCUUUGUUAAAGAAAUCAAGUAUAUGUGUGUGUUUUGGCUUUACGUUCAUUUUUUUCCUUUUAUAUGGUAUAAAAGAGAAUGGUUAAUAACAAAACGGAGCAGGCUAAAUUAAAAAACAAUCAUAACGUCAGAUGGGAAUUUUUUUUCUUUGUAAACAGGUCGUUGUUUUGUAAUGAAAAUCGGAAUACUAAAGAACUCUAUGUGCAUCAUUCCCUUUUGAUUCACGGACCAUUGCCCGGCGCGCGGCACAGCUGGAGCAACCAGUGAACGACCGGGCCCGUCGUGUAACCGCCGAUCUUCACUCCCGAAAUGACCAGUCGUCUACGAUCGUCCUGAGUUUAUUCGUUCUAUGUAUUCGCGCGCGAAAACGUUGAAAUAUUGAAUCUUUCCGGUCGAAAUCCGACACUUAUCAAGUUCGCGAUUCUUGAUUCCCGAUCGAGACACAAUUGGAAAACAUUCGCGAAUUUCGCACGUAUAUCUGACGUUCGGUUUGGGAACGUGUGGCCGAGAUAUGAUCCAGGCGUCACUCGACAUAGUUGUCCGGUAAAUUGCGGUUUGAAGCUUUUUCGAUAUUCCGGGGUGUGUCGGAAAUAGUCGCGUGGAAGUUUUUCUGAGCCUCGCAUUAGACACGAUUUCCGAAUGUUGUGAAAAUCUGGUCAGAUUCCUCAACCACGUGCGUUGACCGAGAUUAUUCUGGAAUUUAUGUUGUGAAGUAAAAUUUGACUAUCUGUCGAGAUUUUGUGUCACAGUGUUAUUUCAAUUUACUUGUUUAAAAAAGAAUUAUCUGUACCUAUUUAAGAGGUACCCAUGCCUUAGAAGUGACUGCUUUAUACUACUUACGCACUUACGCCCCUCUUUUUUAUCUAAACUUUGAGGGUCAAGAAUUUUUUCAAACAAUAAUUUAGUGCAUAAAUUAUAACCUACAUUAUGAUGAAAGAACUCUCUAUCAAGUAAUCUGGUAGAUAAAGUGACACGCUUAGAUAGGAGGUGCGUUUUAUGAAACAUAACAUUAUUCCGUGAUGUUCCAGUUAAAUCACUGCUGUUAUUAAAAAAGUAUCAUUCAGUUGAGCGUAUUUUUUAUAUGUAUCCAGAUAAUGAUACCCACUAAUGCUGCUUUGAAAAUGUUUUCUUCAAAACACUCUUAAAAAAACUAAGUAAUCAAAUCGCAACACAUUUAUUGGAUUCAAGUACUCCUCACGGAAGGGCGAGCGUUUGUAGGUUUGAUUAGAUUGUGAAGUGCAGUGAGUAACAGGGUUUUAAUCAUAGACUGCUUCAGACGAGAGAACGCGAUCAUUUCACGAAAGAGUGCGCUGCAGGUAAAAGGGUUUUGAAAAUGCUGCGGAUCAAAUUUCAGCACUGCAAGUCGUCGGCUCGCUAUCGAUGCGCCGUUGGCGGAGAGUGAUUCCGGUCCAGCUUAUUUCCGUGGAAAACUGGACGGAAAUGACGUCAUACGGUGUUGACGAACCGUUGCCCCACUUCGGAGAUUGGCGAGUUCCUGGGUGCUGCGGACCACUGGCCGAGUAAUAUGCGCUUGAACCCAUUCCAGAAGAACAUGAUAAUGUAAGUACUCAAUUUUUUUUGGGGGGGGGGGCUGGUUUAUUGGCUUCUGUUCCGUAAAGA
rnacentral:lncRNA from 1 species